GCGGAGGAGAGUGAAAAUCGGC
rnacentral:snRNA from 1 species